rnacentral:lncRNA from 10 species
CUCACUCUGUUGCCCAGGCUGGAGUGCAAUGGUGCGAUCUCGGCUCUUUGCAACCUCCGCCUCCUGGUUUCAACCGAUUCUCCUGCCUUAGCCUCCCGAGUAGCUGGGAUUACAAGCAUGUGCCACCACACUUGCUAAUUUUUGUAUUUUUAGUAGACAUGGGGUUUCACCAUGUUAGCCAAGUUGGUCAUGAGCUCCUGACCUCAAGUGAGCCUCCCACCUCGGCCUCCCAAAGUGCUGGGAUUACAGGCAUGAUCCACAGUGCCCAGCCUUGACCCACAUUUUUUAUGGGGAAAAGAGGGCGGUGGGCCCUUUGCAGCCUGAGUUUUCACUGCACGUUGGAGCGGGAGGGGUCUGUGGUGGGUGGAAUUGGGUCCUCCCCAAAUGCAUGUCUACGUGGAGCCUCAGAAUGUGACCUUGGUUGGAAAGAGGGUUUUUGCAGAAGUAAUUAAGGAAAGGGUCCAAAUGAGAUCAUACUGCAUUCGGGUGGCCCUCACUCCAAUGACUGGUGUCUUUUUAAGAUGAGAGGGUGCACAGAGGCACAUAUACAGCGGAGGCGGCCACGUGGAGACAGAGGUGAAGACUGGAGUGGUGCAGCCAGGGAACUGCCAAGGUGCCAGGAGCCACCAGGAGCUGCAAGAGGCAAAAGAAGAUUCUUCCCCACAGAGGGAGCAGAGCACCGCAGACAGGGGGUGCGAUCUUGCUCUGUUGCCCAGGCUGGAAUACAGUGGUGUGAUCAUGGCUCACUGCAGCUGGAACCUCCCAGGCUCCAGCAAUCCUCCCACCUCCCAAGUAGCUGGGAUCACAGGCCCGCGCCACCGCAUAUGCCCAGCUAUUUGUAUUUUUAGUAGAGACAGGGUUUUGCCAUGUUGCCCAGGCUGGUCUCGAACUCCUGGACUCAAGCAAUCCUCCCGCCUCAGCGCCUGGCCCAAGACACUUUUUUUGUUUUUUUUUGAGAUGGAGUCUUGCUCUGUCACCCAGGCUGGAGUGCAAUGGCACGAUCUCGGCUCACCGCAACGUCUGCCUCCUGGGUUCAAGUGAUUCUCCUGCCUUAGCCUCCCAAGUAGCUGGGAUUACAGGCACCCAUUACCAUGCCUGGCUAAUCCAAGACACUAUUUAUAAGAAAACCUAGAACCAGUCUACACAUCCAAUAGUGAGGAAAUGAUUAGAUGAAUUACAGUACAUCCACAAGAUGGAUUACUAAACAGACAUUGGCAUGAUUUAUGAAGAGUGUUUAAUGUUUACAAAGAGCUUUUAAUGAUGUGGAAGAUGGUGGUAUAAUAAGUAGGAAAAAACUGGUUAUA